AUCCCAUGAUGAGGAAACUUACGAAGUAACUCCUUGAAUCACUCCCAAGUCUCAUACAAAGAUUCGUCGUCCAAUUGUUGGAAAGUUGUGAUAUCGUUCCUUAACUU
rfam:Gossypium raimondii Chr06_contig_398, whole genome shotgun sequence.